rnacentral:lncRNA from 1 species
CGGUUGGGUCCCCAUGCAUCCUUCAUGAGGAGUCUGUGACGCUUCACUGCAAAGACUCUAGGGCUAGGCUGGCCAGCCCCUGCUGUGCUCUGGCUCUCGGGCUGGGUGGCUGCUGACAUUCCCCUCCCUCCCCACCCAGGUCAGAAGGUUGAGGGAGCAGCAGCGGGCCCUGCUGCGUGGGAUGAGGGCUGGUGCCUCCCCUCAGUGAGGCUGCUCUACAGGGACCACACAGCCCAUUUUUGCUGCAGGUUAGUCUGUGUUCUGAUGCUACCAUGGGGGACCUUCUACCUUCCCAGCCUCCCUCCCCUGAGGUCUGCCACUGCCAUACCUGCCUGUGCCUCUCGACAGGCUCAGUGAGGUGUCAGGACACACAGGUGUCCUCAGGAGUUCCCCACAUGGCCCUGGCCUUCCGUUUCUCCAUCUAUAAAUGGGGCCAACACCGCACAGCACCAGCUAGAGCACGAGCUGAAGGGGCUUGUGUGCAGGUGGAUGGCGCAGACAGGUAGCAGCCCUGAGGCAGGGUCAAGGGGACUUCUGCCUAACCUGCAGGUUCACACAACAGAAAGCACAGCCAGACAAGGUCGAGGCCUGGGUUUGACUUUGCGGGGGACUCAGUGUGGCUGUUCGUACCCGCCUUGCGGGAGUGGGGCUGUGGGGCUUCCCCAGGAGUGGCAUCUGCCCUGGGAUCAGCAUCUCCUUCUCCCCAAGCCAGGGCUCUCCAAGAGCCUCCUGGGCAAAGGGGACUCCGGAUUAUCAGGGGUCGCUCUGUCCCUGGGGGCCAGGCCAACAGCUCAGGCUCCAGAAAGCUGGUGGUUCCAGCCUGGGCUGACUUAUCAAGUUAGGAAAGAACAAACUCCAGCAGGAAAGAGAAAUCUUCUCCGUGGAGGAGCAUUCCACAAAAGGCGCCUGACUUUCUCCGCACUUGCCCCUCAUUAACAUUCCGCAGACAGCACUAAUGACUUCAUAACACUAACCAGGCUGAAUGGACGGCAUCGAUUCGGGCUGCCCCGCAUUCAGCAAGCAGCAAGCGAUGCUUCUCCAGGCCGCACACAGGCUGGGUCCCCAGCCCCCGGCCACGCCCACCUGCCCGUUAGCAUGCGCAGAAAGCCCCCAUUUGCAUGGAGACAAUGGUCUCAGCCCUGAAUCCGGAGCUGUGGGGGCACUGGGCAUUGGUUGGCACAAUCGCCCUUUGUGCCGGCUCCAGCGGGCAGGCGGGAGCACGUCCCGGGGGCUCACUGAGAUGUGGUCGGGUCCCAGCCCAAUCCUGAUGGCAUCUAAGUCCUGGGGAGCCUGGUGCCCAGUGGAGCGGGAGCCUGGACUUGGUCUUGCCUGCUGACUUCCACAUGGGAUGCCCAGGAAAGCCCCAAGGGGCAGGGAACACCACCCAGCCUCCUGCCAAGGAGGUGGGGAUGCAGCCCGUGGGCUCGGCUGGGAGGAAGCCAGGCAGCUGGAAUCAGGAACACACCCUUCCCUCAGUACAGCCGGAUGGAGCCGACCCACCCCAUCACCUGCCCAGGCUUCCUCUCGCAACAGAAGGCGUGGCCAGCUCCUCCUUGGGAAGACUCUGAGGGGAAGGCACCUGGAAGGUUUACAGAAGUUUCUAGAAGCUCCACCCUCUGUCUGUUCAUACCUCGUUGUCAGAGACCACAGCCCAAGGGAGAAACUCACUGGCUUGCUCGGGCUCCCAA